GUUUGUGAUGCAGGUACGAUGGGAACAUAGGUCACACUUUUUUGAAUUCAAAUAAAGUAAAGUAGGGCAGGCUUUUCAUCAUAUGUUCAUCCCCUUCAUAUUGAAGGAGGUUAGUUACUUAGAAAAACCUAAAAAACCUUACGUCUCAUAUCUAUUUGAAUUUUCAACGAUCCAUUUUAAAUCGCAAUAAGAAAGAACCUACCUUCCCUAUCUCUUAUUCCCUAUCCAUUAAACUUAAAUGAGGCAGCCCUAUUAUUAGGUUAGGACCUCUGAAUUCUAAAUAAGAGACAAGAGGGGGUUAUUAUAUUCAAUCAAUGGGAUUAAGUCUCUUAAGACUUGGGUUAGGGUAAAAUAAAAAUUAGGAGCAAGGGCUUAAUCUGGACUUGUUUGUCUUUGUCCCUAGAUAGUUCCCUUUCCGUAAAAGGGAUCUUUUUUGAUUUCUGAUUCAGCAUUCCCAGAGAAUUGGGGGGGGGGUAGAUAGGUCUUAAUCAGCAACGGGAGAUAUUCAUUUAAAUAUCUGUGUCUGUCCGAAUCUCAUUAACAACGAAUCAAGUUACAUAUGUAACCGAUGUUUUUUUGACCUUUUUAGGUAUUUCGCGUUUGGCUCUAAUGAAGAAUUGUAAAUCGAUGUAACGAUUGAUACGGGGUAAUUCAUAUAUUUUAGUCACUUUAUGCCAAGAUAAUUCAUAUAUUUUAGUCACUUUAUGCCAAGAUUGCAGAAAGAUUACUUAAUUCCAGGUUAAAAAAUAAAAAUACAUAUAAAAUGAGGAAAUACGUAGUUUAACUUAAUAUGUAAUAUAUAUGUAUUUUUAUUAUUCGAUUUC
rnacentral:lncRNA from 1 species